CCUACGGGUGGCAGCAGUGGGGAAUAUUGGACAAUGGGGGCAACCCUGAUCCAGCCAUGCCGCGUGUGUGAAGAAGGCCCUCGGGUUGUAAAGCACUUUCAGUGAGGAAGAACGCCUGGUGGUUAAUACCCAUCAGGAAAGACAUCACUCACAGAAGAAGCACCGGCUAACUCCGUGCCAGCAGCCGCGGUAAUACGGAGGGUGCGAGCGUUAAUCGGAAUUACUGGGCGUAAAGCGCGCGUAGGUGGCUUGAUAAGCCGGUUGUGAAAGCCCCGGGCUCAACCUGGGAACGGCAUCCGGAACUGUCAAGCUAGAGUGCAGGAGAGGAAGGUAGAAUUCCCGGUGUAGCGGUGAAAUGCGUAGAGAUCGGGAGGAAUACCAGUGGCGAAGGCGGCCUUAUGGACUGACACUGACACUGAGGUGCGAAAGCGUGGGUAGCAAACAGGAUUAGAUACCCUUGUAGUC
rnacentral:rRNA from 1 species